rnacentral:rRNA from 1 species
AGAGUUUGAUCCUGGCUCAGGACGAACGCUGGCGGCGUGCCUAAUACAUGCAAGUAGAACGCUGAAGAGAGGAGCUUGCUCUUCUUGGAUGAGUUGCGAACGGGUGAGUAACGCGUAGGUAACCUGCCUUGUAGCGGGGGAUAACUAUUGGAAACGAUAGCUAAUACCGCAUAACAAUGGAUGACACAUGUCAUUUAUUUGAAAGGGGCAAUUGCUCCACUACAAGAUGGACCUGCGUUGUAUUAGCUAGUAGGUGAGGUAACGGCUCACCUAGGCGACGAUACAUAGCCGACCUGAGAGGGUGAUCGGCCACACUGGGACUGAGACACGGCCCAGACUCCUACGGGAGGCAGCAGUAGGGAAUCUUCGGCAAUGGGGGCAACUCUGACCGAGCAACGCCGCGUGAGUGAAGAAGGUUUUCGGAUCGUAAAGCUCUGUUGUAAGUCAAGAACGAGUGUGAGAGUGGAAAGUUCACACUGUGACGGUAGCUUACC